GAUCUUUUUGGGCAUUGUCCUCUGCACCUGCAUUGUCUUCGUCAAAAUCACCGUGAUUUUUAUUCCGUACUGAAAGUUGAUCAUUAGACGAAGUAAAUCUUACAUUACUAAUUGAAUAUUCUUUUUAAAUCUCCAUAUGAUAUGAACGGACCUAGAAAUGUUAAAUGGACACUUUAAAAAUAGAGAAAUUCUAGAAAUUUUUGAAAAGAACAAAACAUCUCGCCAUCAAUCAGUCGACUCAAAUCAUCAUAACUAUCGGAUCUAUUGUGUUUUCUAAAAAAAUUACUGACCUAUACCAUUAUGAAAAUAACCUAAAAUAACCCCCUAAAUUUAUAUCCAAAUUACCCACCUCUAUUAUUAUAUAAAACAAACUAAAGUAACCUCUAAUCUUCAUCAAAAUUACCCACUUCUGUCAUUAUAAAAAUAAUUUAAAAUAACCCCCUAAAUCUGCAACUAAAUUACCCACUACUAAUACUUCAAAACAAUAAUUGAAGUAACCCCUUAAGUUUGCAUUCUAUAUUACCCACAUAUGCCAUUAUUAAAA
rnacentral:lncRNA from 1 species